rnacentral:rRNA from 1 species
GACGAACGCUGGCGGCGUGCUUAACACAUGCAAGUCGAACGGAAAGGCCCUGCUUUUGUGGGGUGCUCGAGUGGCGAACGGGUGAGUAACACGUGAGUAACCUGCCCUUGACUUUGGGAUAACUUCAGGAAACUGGGGCUAAUACCGGAUAGGAGCUCCUGCUGCAUGGUGGGGGUUGGAAAGUUUCGGCGGUUGGGGAUGGACUCGCGGCUUAUCAGCUUGUUGGGGGGGUAGUGGCUUACCAAGGCUUUGACGGGUAGCCGGCCUGAGAGGGUGACCGGCCACAUUGGGACUGAGAUACGGCCCAGACUCCUACGGGAGGCAGCAGUGGGGAAUAUUGCACAAUGGGCAGAAGCCUGAUGCAGCAACGCCGCGUGCGGGAUGACGGCCUUCGGGUUGUAAACCGCUUUCGCCUGUGACGAAGCGUGAGUGACGGUAAUGGGUAAAGAAGCACCGGCUAACUACGUG